rnacentral:rRNA from 1 species
AGCGGCGAAUGGGUGAGUAACACGUGGGGAACCUGCCCCUAAGUCUGGGAUACCAUUUGGAAACAGGUGCUAAUACCGGAUAAUAAAGCAGAUCGCAUGAUCAGCUUUUGAAAGGCGGCGUAAGCUGUCGCUAAGGGAUGGCCCCGCGGUGCAUUAGCUAGUUGGUAAGGUAACGGCUUACCAAGGCGACGAUGCAUAGCCGAGUUGAGAGACUGAUCGGCCGCAUUGGGACUGAGACACGGCCCAAACUCCUACGGGAGGCAGCAGUAGGGAAUCUUCCACAAUGGACGCAAGUCUGAUGGAGCAACGCCGCGUGAGUGAAGAAGGUUUUCGGAUCGUAAAGCUCUGUUGUUGGUGAAGAAGGAUAGAGGUAGUAACUGGCCUUUAUUUGACGGUAAUCAACCAGAAAGUCACGGCUAACUACGUGCCAGCAGCCGCGGUAAUACGUAGGUGGCAAGCGUUGUCCGGAUUUAUUGGGCGUAAAGCGAGUGCAGGCGGUUCAAUAAGUCUGAUGUGAAAGCCUUCGGCUCAACCGGAGAAUUGCAUCAGAAACUGUUGAACUUGAGUGCAGAAGAGGAGAGUGGAACUCCAUGUGUAGCGGUGGAAUGCGUAGAUAUAUGGAAGAACACCAGUGGCGAAAGGCGGCUCUCUGGUCUGCAACUGACGCUGAGGCUCGAAAGCAUGGGUAGCGAACAGGAUUAGAUACCCUGGUAGUCCAUGCCGUAAACGAUGAGUGCUAAGUGU